UACGUAGGGGGCAAGCGUUGUCCGGAUUUAUUGGGCGUAAAGAGCGUGUAGGCGGUCAGGUAGGUCCGUUGUGAAAACUCGAGGCUCAACCUCGAGACGCCGAUGGAAACCAUCUGACUAGAGUCCGGAAGAGGAGACUGGAAUUCCUGGUGUAGCGGUGAAAUGCGCAGAUAUCGGGAAGAACACCUAUGGCGAAGGCAGCUCUCUGGGACGGUACUGACGCUGAGACGCGAAAGCGUGGGGAGCGAACAGG
rnacentral:rRNA from 1 species